UUUUUUUUUUUUUAAAGAUUUUAUUUAUUUAUCAUGUGUACAACAUUCUGCUUCCAUGUAUAUCUGCACACCAGAAGAGGGCACCAGAUCUCAUAAUGGAUGGUUGUGAGCCACCAUGUGGUUGCUGGGAAUUGAACUCAGGACCUCUGGAAGAGCAGUCAGUGCUCUUAACCUCUGAGCCAUCUCUCCAGCCCGUACAGUUAUGAAUUGUAAUAUGAAUGUUUUUGUUUACCGGUGGUCUGAGGCAACCACUGUGAAAGGGUCAUUUGACCCCCAUGGGGGUCACAACCCACAGCUUGAGACCCGCUGGUUUAGAGCAUCAUCCACUGCACAAGAGACAAGAAUUGCGAAAGCCCAGUGUCUUUUACAACUCCCUUCCCCAACUGUUCCAAAUCCUUUCACAAUUUGUGUCUCCUGUCCUGUUGUCUCUCUUGCAUUGUGCCUAUUUCUCUGUUUUCUUUUGUCUCCCUGCCUCCGUCUCUGCAGGCCAACAGACUCCUCUAAUCAUCUGUGCCUUUGGCUGUGCAGCGUCUGUCACCUGUCUUCCCUCUGGGGAUGCAGUGAUGCUGUUUUACUAGCUGGCGCUCAGCUGGUCCCCGUUCUCAGGGGCAUCAUGUUGGUUGCCUGAAAUCUGCCACAAGAGAAGUGUUUCCACCAGAGACACUGGCAAAGGCGUGCAAUAUUAUCACGGCUAAUUUCUGCCUUUGGACAUUGGACUCAAGACCUUGUAUGCAAGCUAAGCAAGUACUCCACCGCCGAGUUACAACCCUUGUCUCCCACUCUUUGCCUGGACUGUUUCUGCUUACCCUCCAAGACGGUUCUGUCAGGCAGUCUUGGAUUCCCAUGGAGCAAUAUGGAGAAGCAAUCAACUUCUCUGUUAAGUGUGUGGGGCUGAGUGCUGUGCAAACAUAACUUC
rnacentral:lncRNA from 1 species